AUUGAACGCUGGCGGCAGGCUUAACACAUGCAAGUCGAACGAGUGGCGGACGGGUGAGUAAUGCUUGGGAAUCUUGCUCAUGGAGGGGGAUAACUACUGGAAACUGUAGCUAAUACCGCGUACCAUAGGAUGAGCCCAAAUGGGAUUAGGUAGUUGGUGAGGUAACGGCUCACCAAGCCGACGACCUCUAGCUGGUCUGAGAGGAUGACCAGCAACAGUGGGACUGAGACAAGGCCCAGACUCCUACGUGAGGCAGCAGUGGGGAGUAUUGCGCAAUGAGGGCAAGCUAACGCAGCCAUGCCGCGUGAAUGAAGAAGGCCUUCGGGUUGUAGAGUACUUUCGGUAGCGAGGCGGUAACUACAGAAGAAGCACCGGCUAACUCCGUGCCAGCAGCCGCGGUAAUAC
rnacentral:rRNA from 1 species